rnacentral:rRNA from 1 species
UACGGAGGGGGGCUAGCGUUGUUCGGAAUUAGCUAGGGCGUAAACGCAGCGUUAGGCGGCUUUGUAAGUUAGAGGUGAAAGCCCGGGGCUCAACUCCGGAAUUGCCUUUAAGACUGCAUCGCUAGGAAUUGUGGAGAGGUAAGUGGAAUUCCGAAGUGUAGAGGUGAAAUUCGUAGAUAUUCGGAAGAACACCACGUGGGCGAAGGCGACUUACUGGACACA